rnacentral:rRNA from 1 species
UUCGCCCUUAGAGUUUGAUCCUGGCUCAGAACGAACGCUGGCGGCAGGCCUAACACAUGCAAGUCGAGCGCUCUCUUCGGAGGGAGCGGCGGACGGGUGAGUAACGCGUGGGGAUGUGCCCUUCUCUAAGGAAUACCCACUGGAAACGGAGAGUAAUACCUUAUACCCCCUUUGGGGGAAAGAUUUAUCGAAGAAGGAUCAACCCGCAUUAGAUUAGAUAGUUGGUGGGGUAAUGGCCUACCAAGUCUACGAUCUAUACCUGGUUUUAGAGAACAAUCAUCCCCACUGGGACUGAAACACGGCCCAUACUCCUACGGGAGGCAGCAGUGUGGGAAUCUUAUACAAUGGGCGCAAGCCUGAUCUAACCAUGCCGCGUAAGUGAUGAAGGCCCUAGGGUCGUAAAGCUCUUUCGCCAGGGAUGAUAAUGACAGUACCUGAUAAAGAAACCCCGGCUAACUCCGUGCCACUCAGCCGCGGUAAUACGGAGGGGGUUAGCGUUGUUCUCAAUUACUGGCCGUAAAGCGUACAUAGGCGGAUCAAAAACUUAGGGGUGAAAUCCCUAGGCUCAACCUCGAAACUGC